rnacentral:rRNA from 1 species
UACGGAGGGUGCAAACGUUGUUCGGAAUUACUGGGCGUAAAGCGCGUGUAGGCGGCUUGGCAAGUCGGGUGUGAAAUCCCGGGGCUCAACCCCGGAACUGCAUUCGAAACUGCCUGGCUGGAGUCCCGGAGAGGGUGGUGGAAUUCCCAGUGUAGAGGUGAAAUUCGUAGAGAUUGGGAGGAACACCAGUGGCGAAGGCGGCCACCUGGACGGUGACUGACGCUGAGACGCGAAAGAGUGGGGAGCAAACAGG